GAAAGGUCUAAGAUUAAAGAAUCCGAAGAUUUAAGUCUUGAACAGUUACGUGUUGCAGAGUCGAUUCUAAAGCAAGAAGUUAAUCAAGUCUUGGAGCCUUCAAUGGAGAUUGAAAACAAUCAAGUCAUGGAGUAAAUGAAAGUUAAAGAUCCUACUGAGUUAGAGAGCCUUUCAACUAUUGUUUAAAUUGAUUUUACCUAUCCAAAUGUUUUCAAGGAUGCAAAAGAAAGCAUGGAUACUUCCCGUCAAUUUUGUUGCUACAAUCCAGGAAGAUCGUACUGUGUGUGUUUUCUUUGUUUUGUUUGUAAUCCGUCAACACUUCAAGACUCAAAGUCGAGUUUUUUUCAACCAGGAGAGAAUAAUGCAGUAUAGGAAGUUUAGAAUUUUUUUAAGAAUUUUAAUUAUUAUGGAAUUAUGAAAUUUAAA
rnacentral:misc_RNA from 1 species